rnacentral:rRNA from 1 species
GAUGAACGCUGGCGGCGUGCCUAAUACAUGCAAGUCGAGCGAACAGACGAGGAGCUUGCUCCUUCGACGUUAGCGGCGGACGGGUGAGUAACACGUAGGUAACCUACCUAUAAGACUGGGAUAACUUCGGGAAACCGGAGCUAAUACCGGAUAAUAUUUCGAACCGCAUGGUUCGAUAGUGAAAGAUGGCUUUGCUAUCACUUAUAGAUGGACCUGCGCCGUAUUAGCUAGUUGGUAAGGUAACGGCUUACCAAGGCAACGAUACGUAGCCGACCUGAGAGGGUGAUCGGCCACACUGGAACUGAGACACGGUCCAGACUCCUACGGGAGGCAGGAGUAGGGAAUCUUCCGCAAUGGGCGAAAGCCUGACGGAGCAACGCCGCGUGAGUGAUGAAGGUCUUCGGAUCGUAAAACUCUGUUAUUAGGGAAGAACAAACGUGUAAGUAACUGUGCACGUCUUGACGGUACCUAAUCAGAAAGCCACGGCUAACUACGUG